AUGGCAGACACGAAGGUUGACUCCGCGACAGAAAUCUCCGCAAAGGACCUGAAGGAGAAGAAACUCCUCGAGGAGAAGGAAAAUGGAAAAGAUGCCACUAACGGAAAGGAGAAUGAAGAAAAUGGAGAGCCUGAAAUUGAUGAUGAAGAGGAUGAUGAGGUGGAUGAGGAAGAUGAAGAGGAAGGAGAGGGUGAUGAAGAUGAGGACGAUGAUGAAGAUGAUGAUGAGCUAGGUGGAGGAACAAAACGGGCUGCUGAUGAUGACGAUGAAGAAGAUGAGGAUGAUAUUGACCCCAAGAAGCAGAAGACGGAUGAUGAUGAUUAAAUGAUUGUUUCAUAUUGUGGAGCAGGAGUGGAUGCCUCUGCUUUAACCCAAACCGUUGGAGCCGGUGGCAUAAAGGACUCAAAUACAUAAAACAUGGUCAUUUUCAAGUCAGUCACCCAUGUUAACCAACUUGACCCCAAUUAAAAAUUUUCUAGAGGACCGACCACAUCUCAGAUUUUCAGCAUUCACAAUGAAAAUACACAAGACAAGGAUUUGUUUGUAUUUUUAUUUACAUUUUAUAUUUUUGUACAUAUAUUGUGAAGAGGUCAGCCACUUUAUCAUGAUCUCCUGUGACCAAAACGGUGCUUCUUUAUGGAAAUUUUACUUGUUUGGUUUGACCAUGUCUCAAUAUUUCAACAUAAAUACAACAUGUAUAAAAUCAACAGCCAUUGAACUCAAGAGCAUUCCAGUAAAUUUUAUGUAUGAACUUUAGUUGUACCAUAAACUAGUUUUUGUAUGAGAGGGCAAGGCCAAAGAAAAGGAGUUUUGGUUUCUUUUGACUUUGUUUUGUCUACAUUAUUUGUUUUACCUUGGCCUGUUUGUUGUAUGUGUGGAGUUUGUUGUUCAACAAUAAACUUAACUUUUAUUUUGUGAGUUACACCUCUUAUUGUUUUGUUUGUUUUUCAAAAUCCCAUAAUUCAUUGUGACAGACUAAACAAGCUAGCUGUAGCUAGAAAAAUGUAAACCGGUAUUGCUAAUGCCUGUCCUUCAGUAUUAUUUGUUAACUGGAACAUCUGAUGUUCCACCUAUUAAUUCAGUUCAUGACACACUCCACUUUGACACAUGACAAAUGUAAGAAUUGGAGCACUAUUCAUUUUCCAAGACCACUUUCUAGACUAUUUAUUAGUACAAAUAAAAUUAAUUGAUUUUAUGUGGCUACAUAAAAGCAGCAUUAUUACAUGGUUUAGGAAGUUACACUCCAAAACAUUAGAUCGAUAUUAAAAAUGGCAUGGUUCCACAAAAUGUGAAUCAUUUGCAGCCAAAAUGAAAAAAAGUGCCAGUUGUUUUUUCGUUCUCAACCAUAUAAACACAUUUUUCUAAAUCUAAAACCUUAAAAAAAGCAGGUUUUCUAUCCUAAAGAUUGAGUUUACACUCAUUUACUUCUUUAGAAAGGAAAUGCUACUCCGAUACUUCCAGAAGCAAGCUUUUAACGCAUUACGUUCUUACAUCUGGUGUUCUCACUGCCUUCGCACAGCUGCCAGAGACUUCCCCACUAGACUUAUAAGUGCAGGUCAUUUGGCUCUGCAGACGUGAACUGUGUGUGUGUUUGGCUAAAACACUGGCUGAUGUCAUGUCUAAGUAGGCGUCUAUUUCAGGCUUACAUGUCAGGGUCAGGUUUGAGGAGAGUGAAUACUUGUGGUCUAGACUGUAGAACGAGUGAGUGUGAAUGUGUUUGAAACCACUCAGUCAUCUUAUGCCUUUUUUUCUACAGAGACAUUUACUUAGAUAGAAAUCCUCAAACCUUCUAUGAUUCCAUAAAAUAGACCAUUCAGCUCAGAAAACAAUAACUUAUAAGAAAAUACUAAAUAUUCCACAUUUCAUUUUUCAACUCACAUUUUGUCUUACCAGUUCAUCCCUUGCAUCUCUCUCACACAUUUCCCAGUUUUUAGUGAAAGCAUUGGUUUGAUCAUGAUAAAAGGAGCUGCUUAGACUAGACCGAAUGGCAGCCUUCCACCAGCCUUCAUCGAAGUUCAUCUCAGUAUGCAGACAGCAGCUCGAGGGUUUGAGGUUCCAGCAGCAGCACUGCUGGUGUGUCACAACAGCACGAUGCCAAUCUAUCAAACACAACAUGUAAAUGCAUGUCAGGAUGUUGGCAACUGAAAUUCUGUGAACAUUCAUGUAGUCUUACUUACAAGUAACAAGACGGCUACAUUUCUCAGGCAUACUAAGGUGGCUUACUAAGUAAGUUAGUAUGUACUUAACGUUACUAAGUUGGCGAUAAAUUGGAAAUGAGGUAGUGAGCAUUUAAAACACGCACUAACUGAAACAGCAGCAAGGUGCUUAACAGAUACUAACGUGGAAAUGCAGCUAGUUAACGAUAAAUCUGCCCCAGAUACAGACGUUCAAAUAAGUUGACACUUUAAUUACUAAUCUUACCAGAUGUGCAGACGUAUACGACCCGAUUCGAAGGAUAUCCCGUUUAAGAUCUCUCCACGAUCAUUCUUUUUUUUUUUUUCUUUAUGAAAGCCAAAUGAAAAACUAAAACUGGACAAAUCACAGGUAAACACAGUCCAUGACAUGCUGAGGUCCACGUAAAAUAAUGUCUAUAACAUCUGCAGACGUGCAGAAUUCACGAGUUCUCGGUAGAUAUGACAAAGUGAAGCGCAUCCCAUUCAAAUAAACCGUCAACCGUUUGUCUCUUUAAAAUUCACUGUGCUCUUCUGCCGCCUACUGGCAAACAAAGCUAUUGCACAUCAGCUGCAUCACAUUAAGGAACGGAAACGGUCUCCGUGUAGGUUCAACUUAUUUUGAAACUUGAAACGCGUUCUGUGUGACCCGGAUCAGUUAGUAAAUCUCAUAACACACUCAAAUAAAAUCGAUAUAUUUUAAUUGAUUAAAUAUAUAAAAUAUAAAAAAUAUAUUAAAUAUAAAAUUAAUUUCAUAUUACAAUGUUUUCUUCAUAUUCAAUAAUUCAGAGUCAUUUAAUAAGAUUUAAACUAAGUUUGAUUGUUAGACUAGACAGUAAUUCACAUUGGUCUAUUGACUAAGUCUUUAGCUGAUUGAAGUAGUGUAACAUCAUGGAACUUUAAGAUAGCCUUAUUAAUAUUCUAUGGUAUUUACAUUAUAGUCCAAAGUGCAUCCAUUUUUUCUUAGUUCCCCCUCUCCUUCCAACCUUUAUCCAGCAAUUUUUACAUACUUUAAGUCCCAAAGUCUUUGUCUCCAAACCCUUUACAAAUGCAGGUGGCCAUUUGCUUUCUUAAAACAGAGACAUGACCAGCUGUAGGCCUACCCAUUGAUGCAUUCAAGUGGGGAUUGGGGGAAGGGGCAACAAUCCCCCCACCACCACUAUCAUUAAUUUCCUCCACACCCAUCACACAUGCACACCAGCUUGCCUUUUGUUUUCCUACCUUUCCUUGAACCAAAGCAGCCUUUGCUUAGUAACGUAUAAUCAAAGGACAUCUUGUGUUGGAUACGGCAAGUGCCAC
ensembl:lncRNA